rnacentral:rRNA from 1 species
CCCUUAGAUGUUCUGGGCCGCACGCGCGCUACACUGAUGAAUUCAACGAGCUCCUAACCUAGGCCGAAGGGUCCGGGUAAUCUUUGAAAUUUCAUCGUGAUGGGGAUAGAUUAUUGCAAUUAUUAAUCUUCAACGAGGAAUUCCUAGUAAGCGCGAGUCAUCAGCUCGCGUUGAUUACGUCCCUGCCCUUUGUACACACCGCCCGUCGCUCCUACCGAUUGAAUGGUCCGGUGAAAUGUUCGGAUCGCGGCAAAUCGGACGGGUAACCGUCAGGUUCGCUGCGAGAAGUUCAUUAAACCUUAUCAUUUAGAGGAAGGAGAAGUCGUANCA